CUACUACCGUGGGUAUACCCCAAGGUAGACUGCCGACUAGCUUUCGUCGACAGCUAGAUAUUUAUACUAACACUUAACCAGUUCCACAAAGCUUUGUUGUCUAUUUGAGCUCCACAUAAUUCAAGGAUCAAAGAAGACUAGCAGACGGAGGACAUCCUAAUCGCUGUCUGGGUGCUGCCGACUUUCAAAUACACCUCCACCACCUGCUAGCUACAUCAGAAGAAAUUACGUCAAAAUCCAGCUUGGGGGAGAGCACCCCCAUUUAUCCAGCUAAGUAUUUCUACUCGCGUUUAUACUUUACUCAAAUGAUAAAAGAUGCAUAAUCAUGAAAACUCAAAUAAAAAUUUUGUGCUUUUAUAUAUAUUUUUAGUUUGCUAAAUAAAUAAAGUUUGCUAUGAACCCUCAUGAUAAACUCUCACAUGGAAAUGAUGAAUAGUUGCUCUGCCAUGACUAGUUCUUAAAAUUGAAAUCUCUCUCAAGUUUAGGCAUGACUGUUAUGAAGUAAGAUUUGCUCUAAACCUGAACUUGUGGGAAGAGUACUUGAUCUAAAGUCUAAGUCGUUAACGGAUAUGAUAUGGGAAGGUUGAGCUGCUGUUUAUCUGUUCCUAGAGAUGCUAGAAUUCUGGAGAAUUUUAUCUUUGAAAAAUCUUUAAAAUAACACAUGAUGAGCUCCUAUAUGAUGAGAGUUUAAAUUCCUACCACAGCCAUAUAUACAUGCUUGCUAGACUUUGAGCCACAUAUUUACUUUUUACUGCAUAUAAGCAUUGAGUGUGGUCAAGCUGUGUAGACCCUUAGGAGCUUGUCAUGUGGUUAAAAUCAAGAUUCACUUGCACGUUCAUUCAUACAUGCUACUUCUACUCCGGAAGUACGCAUCCAUAUACAUCCACUCAUUUCCAUCUCCAGAUUCAUCCAAAAUUAUUCUACUCCUGAUCCGGGAGAGAAUAGCCAAAAACAUUUUCCUAUACCUGUGAAAUAAAUGCUCCAGUUAUUUUGGUUACUAUCACUUGCUAUAUUAUUUCAGGAGACGAGUGCUCUAAAAAAAAAGAAAAAAAAGAAAAAAAUGAAUAAUAUACGAGGAAAUAAAAAGGGGCAAGUGCCCGGAACCUCGAAGAAAAGAAAAAGUGAGACGAGAGGUAAAAAUGGACAAGUGUCCGACAGUAGAAUUAGGGGUACAAGAUACCCACUUGAGAGGAAAGAAAAAAAAAAUAUAGAGCAUCUCAUUCUCCCCAAAAAGCUUCAAAGUGCAAGAAAGGUAUGUAUCCCCUCAAAAGAGCAAAAGUAGAAUUAGACUUUCACCAUCAUUAUCACCAUCAUCACCAUACACCAUUCAUUCGCCACACAUGCACAUCUUGAUUUGACUUAUUGACUUGUUUUUCUGGAUCCAUGAUUUGACUAUGCAAUAAAUGUCUUGUAAGUAUGUAUUAGCUGUCUCCCACCUAUGAGCUCUAGAUAUCAUAAUCUUAUUAGAGUAGGGUGAGAGAGAAGGCAAUAUCACUAUGCCUCAUACCAAAAAUACCACAUACUUUGAGAGAAAGCAUAUACCAUUACUGCCUUGGUAAGGAUCCAGAAAUACCACAAAAGAGAGAUCUGAGAGAGUCAUAUAAGGAAUCUCUGAGUUUUAUUUCAAAAUCUGCAAAAACUCCAGAGCUAUAGCUGAUCAAGAAUAAGAGACAUGGCGCUUGACUUGACCGUUCUAUCUUUUAACUGCUCAAGACACAAGUGACGGUGACAAGCCCCAUGGUGAAAGGUAAAAUGAGUAAGUUUUAAGUCUUAACAGUUUAUUCUAACUCAGAGAUGAGAUCUUGCUUGAAUGCGUGUGUACUUUUAAGAAAUGAAACCACUGCAGAAACUCUCGAGUUCAUCCUUGCUCAGGGGCGAGCAAGAGGUAAGCUUGGGGGAGUUUGUUGACGGUCCUUAAGUAUCAAAUUUAAUUAUCAAAUAAACAAAGAAAAGGAUCCAAAUAAAAUCAACAUCUAGACUUAGGGUUUUAUCUGACAGAAUUCCACGAGUUUUGGUGUUUGUCUAUUUCUGCAGGGUGUUAUCAGGAAAUGAGGAAUAAAGGCCCACAUGUCGGGAUUACAUAGAGAUAUCAACACACCGCGCAAUUUUCUAUCAUCUAGAAGACUCCAGAAGCCACGGGAACGAACGAGAAGGGAAACGGGCCCGGGGGCAGGGCGCCCGCCCACCCCCCUUGGGCGCCCGCCCAGGUGUUUCCACCAAUCACAGAAUGAAGUACACCAUUGCAAAGAUCUCGUCGAGCUGAUUGAAAUGCAUAUAUUAUUUGCUAUAUUUGGAGUUCGGAAUCAAGAGAUAUUAAUAAAAGAAGGACUCCGCAUAAAAGAGCUGCGGGAUUAAUUGGGCCCAAAUCAGAUUUUGGUCCAUUAAGGCCUAUGUGCAUUUUAAUGAGAUAUGGUGGAAAGUUUAGUACCACAUCGCCUGCUGAACCAAAAACGCACAAAGGAGUAGGACUAUAUAAGCAAGGCCCCUGGCCCCUGGAGGAGACAAGAAAUUAUCAUAGAGAUUGAGGGGUGCCCUCGAAGGAAAACCUCUUCUCUAAAUAAUAUUUCUUUUUAGGCUUAGCAACCAAUGUAAAGUAGAAAUAGAUCUUCUAGUUUCUACUAGAUUGAGAGAGAUAGAGUGGAGGUGUGGAUCGGAGGAAGGUCGGCCUGUCGGUGUCUACUCCGAGUUGUACCUACGGGAUCAAGUCUCCUAACCCGAGGCUUGCUUCUAAGAUUCUUCAGUAAUUCGACUUCUAUUUCUGGUAAGUUCUUGUUUUAUUGUUCUUUGGUUUAUGAGUUUACUUUAAUCCUCUUCCGGUUGAGUAUUAGAGUAAUCACUUGCUAGCGUAAACGUGGUGUUUAGGCUAGGGUACUCAUAGAUAUCCCCUGACUAGCUGGACCGUGGUAGUAGCGAGGAACGUGACAUUUCCGAGUUACCUUUGCAGAUCACAUCUCGUUAGCAGGACGGGUAGGUUUAUAGGUGCGGGUCGAACAUCCUUUGUGUUGUCUAGAUUCCGUGAGCCUCCCCAAUAGAACAGUAGAUCAUCCUUACCAAGGUUAGAACGAGACUAAGGUUGCAGUCUUCUCUAUACAUCACUCACAUCGAGAGACAUUCUUUGUAGCCUAAAGGGAUAGUAGCAAUAGAUUUGGUUAGUCAGAUGCACCCUUUCUUCCAGUGGUAAAAAUAUAAAUCCGAUACUCUGGCAAACCUCCCGGGUGAAAUGCUCACCGAUAUCCGUGCGCUUGCGGAUCAUUUCCUUAUUGCGUUACCAAAUAUCAACAAUGAUGAUCUUACUUCCAAGGGAUUUUAAAUUAAGCAUGGUGCUUAGGUUAAAAUGCCCUCCUAAAUCAAAUUAGACAUGGUGUCUAGGUUGAUUUUUGAGCCGAUAGUAUGCUAUAGUAGAUAUUGGAUAUUUUGUUGGACUAACCCCUGCAGGAAAACUUUCAAUAUCGACCUGGGAAGUCCUGAGAUAAACUCACAUUGGAGACAAAGAGAGAGACACAUGAAGGUUAACAAUUUACACAAGGAAGACAUAGCUCACAAGAUAUGAUCCAUGGAGGGUGCCACAAACACGAUGCACAACCGCUAAGAAAGGAAAUCUUCCACAAGGUGAUACUGUACCAUCACUCUUCAAGUAAGGUAACAUCUUAAGGUACUUGACUAUCACUUUUAUAAGCUUCUCCUUGGUUCUGGUGUUCACAUGAAUAAAAGAGACAAACAUGUAUGAUUUACAACUCUAGAUUAACCAACUCAAUCGAUUCAAUAUGUUUAGUCCUUCCACCUUUGUGAUCCCACACUCCUAACCAUAUGAGCUAAAAUGUUGCACACACAAUCUUUAGAAGAUAUAUAAAAAAACAUAAGUAUAGAUAGAUUAUCUUUCCAUUAGGUUGAGCGAUCUAAUCUGACAUAUGUUUUAAAUGCUACACUCAUGAUCUUAUUAUCCAUCAACUUUGUCUUGCUCACUAUGCUUAAGGUUAGAGAAGAACAAAUACACUUUUGGUUCUGUUGGUGUUUUCCACCAACAGGGCCCAUGCACUUGAUCUCCAUUGUCUCUAUGAGCAGGUACACUUCGAGCAAAAUAUGAAGGAGUUUUACAACUCCCAGACUCCAAGUGAAGAACUUGGAUCUACGAGCACAAACACACUGGAGAUACUGGACACUCAGGCAAUCACUGCCCUGAGAUGCUUGAGGACAUAAACUACAUCAUCAACAACAACAACAACUACUACUACAACCGUCCUCAACUAAAUCAAGGUUGGAAUCAACAGAGGCCUAACUACUCAGGUAAUUAUCAAGGUAAUAAUUCUUACAAUAAUAAUAAUAAUUUUCUACCUCUGAGAGAGUUAGUGUCUAAUCAAGGAAAGCUAAUGGAUAACCUAUCUAAGAAAUUGGCAUCUAAUGAUAAAAUGCUAGAAAAUAUAAGUAAUAGAAUGGAUAAUUUCUCUACUGCCAUCAAAAAUCAAAUUAGCUUUAAUAAAAUGAUUGAAUCUCAGUUAAAUCAAAUAACUGCUACUGUUCCUGCUACUAACCCCGGUAUACCAUCACAACCGGAAGGAUUAGAAUCUGCAAAUCUUGUAGACAUGACCUUCUGCCGGUCAAGAGAGGCGAUCCAGGACGCCCCGUCAUCCCGAUCUCCAUCGGCAUGGUGGACUUCCCAGAAGCACUCUGCGACUUUGGCUCCAGCGUCAACAUUAUGCCUAGGGUACUCUAUAAAAAAUUAUUUACACAUCCUUUACUAGAAACAACCAUGUGUUUGUAGCUUGCAGAUCAGACACUAAGUUUCCCAAAGGGAAUAUUGAAGAACCUCUACGUCCGAGUUGGUACAUUGUACGCCCCAGCAGACUUCGUGGUGAUAGAGACUGGUACUGAUGAGAGGGCACCCAUCAUCCUAGGGAGGCCAUUCCUGAACACCUCGGGAGCUGUCAUCUACGCUAGUGCUGCCAAGAUUAGUUUCUACAUCAAGGGGAGGAAGGAGACGUUAUCCUUCAAGAACAAGACUACACAAAUCUCAGAGCAAUCUCGAUAUGAACCAAGGAAGAGGACCAACAGGAGGAACAGGAACAAUCAAAUGUGGACCGAGUCAGCUAAGAUGGUCACUGCAGUUCAAGGAGGUCAAGAUCAUCGACUUAAGUCAUCGUUCCUGACUAAAAAGGACGACCCAGGUAUGCCAAGCAUCCAGUGCUCCAUUAAUGGAUACAACUUCUAGAAGACGCUUUGCGACACCGGGUCAGGCGUCAACAUAGUGGCUGCAGUCACCUAUCAGCUCCCGUUCGGAACCAUGCCCCUAAAACUGACAUACAUUCAACUCCAGAUGGCAGAUCAGACAUUCCGAAAGGUUGAAGGUAUAGUAACUGAUGUCCCUGUCAAAAUAGACGAUCAUUUUGUCCAUACAGAUUUUCAGGUUAUUGAUAUGGGAGAAGAUGAGUACGAUCCACCCACCAUCCUUGGGAGACCGAUCCUCAGCACCGUUAAAGCAAUCAUCUAUAUUGGAACCGGAGAAGUCCACAUGCACUUCCUCUCUGAGAAGGUACGCCGCUAUUUUACUGACCCUAACUAUAUAGCUGAAGACUCUAAGCAGGUCAGGACAAGAAGAAGACGACGCAACCGCAACCAGAGGAGGCAAAUCAUCAAGGACGGAUGGGCAGACUACGAAGGAGAAGUGGUAAGGUCUGAAGACAUACAGCUUGAACAGAACUGUCAUGAGGAGACCGUAGCACCGAGUCAGGUGUGGAGAGAGAAGAUAGUUAUACAUGAAGAGGAGGCGCCGCCGGAACCACCGACUAUGCCAUCCAGCGAAUCCCAGGACGACUGAGAAAACGGAGAGUCCCGUUCAGAGGACUUAAAAACCGAACGCCUUGCCAAGAGGUAAACUUGGUAGUUAUUCUUUUCCUUUUAAUUAUUUAAAAUAGUUUGCUUAGUUAAUCAGAUUCAUUUCAUCUUGAAAAGAAAAUAAAAAUAUUAAAAAUAGUAAGCCCCAUGUGAGUAUGCUCAUGGCAUAAAACCCAUAAGUACAUUCACUGUGGUUGCAUAAAAAUAAAAUAAAUAUAUUUCUGUCCUAUAAAAAUAAAAAUAUAAAAAUAAAUUUAUGAUCCUAUUAAAAAGAGUAACAUUUAUUGAGGAGGCUCAACAUGAUAAAGACUAGAUAUUUAUGCUAACACUUAACUAGUUCCACAAAGUUUUGUUGUCUAUUUGAGCUCCAUAGAAUUCAAGGAUCAAAGAAGACUAGCAGACGGAGGACAUCCUAAUCGCUGUCAGGAUGCUGCCGACAUUCAAAUAUACCUCCGUCACCUGCUAGCUACACCAGAAGAAAUUACAUCAAAAUCCAGCUUGGGAGAGAGCACCCCCAUUUAUCCAGCUAAGUGUUCUACUCAUGUUUAUACUUUACUCAAAUAAUAAAAAGAUGCAUAAUCAUAAAAACCCAAAUAAAGAUUUUAUGCUUAUAUAUAUAUCUUUGCUUAGUUUGCUAAAUAAAUAAAUAAAUAAAGUUUGCUAUGAACCCUCAUGAUAAGCUCUCACAUGGAAAUGAUGAAUAGUUGCUCUGCCAUGACUAGUACUCAAAAUUGAAAUCUCUCUCAAGUUCAGGCAUGACUGUUAUUAAUUAAGAUUUGCUCUAAACCUAAACUUGUGGGAAGAGUACUUGAUCUAAAGUCUAAGUCGUUAACGGAUAUGAUAUGGGAAAGGUUGAGCUACUGUUUAUCUGUUCCUAGAGAUGCUAGAAUUCUGGAGAAUUUUAUCUUUGAAAAUCUUUAAAAUGUUGCAUGAUGAGUUCCUGUAUGAUGAGAGUUUAAAAUCCUACCACAACCAUAUAUACAUGCUUAUUAGACUAUGAACCAUACAUUUACUUUUUACUGCUUAUGAGCAUUGAGUGUGGUCAAGGUGUGUAGACCCUUAGGAGCUUGUCAUGUGGUUAAAAUCAAGAUUCACUUGCACGUUCACUCAUACAUGCUGCUUCUACUCUGGAAGUACGCAUCCACAUACAUCCACUCAUUUCCAUAUCCAGAUUCACCUAAAAUUAUUCUACUCCUAUCUAGGAGAGAAUAGUCAAAAACAUUAUCCUAUCCCUGUUAUUCCUCGUGAAAUAAAUGCUCGAGAUAUUUUGGUUACUACCACUUGGUACAUUAUUCUAGGAAGGUGAGUGCUGUGAAAAAAAGGUGAAUACGAGGAAAUAAAAAGGGGCAAGUGCCCGAAACCUCGAAAGAAAAGAAAAAGUGAGAUGAGAGGUAAAAAUGGACAAGUGUCCGACAGUAGAAUUAGGGGUACAAGAUACCCACCUAAGAGAAAAAAAUAAAAUAUAGAGCAUCUCAUUUCCCUCAAAAGCCUCAAGUGCUAGGAAGGUAUGUACCCCCCUCAAAAGAGCAAAAGUAGAAUUAGAUUUUCACCAUUAUCACCAUUCAUUCGCCACACAUGCACAUCUUGAUUUGAGUUAUUGACCUGUUCUUCUGGAUCCAUGAUUUGACUAUGCAAUAAAUGUCUUGUAAGUAUGUAUUAGCUGUCUCCCACCUAUGAGCUCCAGAUAUCAAAACCUUAUUAGAGUAGGG
rnacentral:lncRNA from 1 species